GACGAACGCUGGCGGCGUGCCUAAUACAUGCAAGUAGGACGCAGUUGCGAACGGGUGAGUAACGCGUAGGUAACUACCUAUUAGAGGGGGAUAACUAUUGGAAACUAUAGCUAAUACCGCAUACUAGUAGUUGGACCUGCGUUGUAUUAGCUAGUAGGUAGGGUAAUGGGCUACCUAGGCAACGAUACAAAGCCGAGCUGAGGAGGUUGUCGGACAACAUGGGACUGAGACACGGCCCAGAAUCCUGAGGGAAGCAGCAGUAGGGAAUCUUCGGCAAUGGGGGGAACCCUGGCCGAGCAAAGCCGCGUUAGUGAAGAAAGUUUUCGGAUCGUAAAGGUCUGUUGUUAAGGGAGCGGUACUUAACGAGAAAGGAACGGCUAACUACGUGCCAGCAGCCGCGGUAAUUC
rnacentral:rRNA from 1 species